rnacentral:rRNA from 1 species
UACAAUUGGCGAGGCUUGACGAGCGAUGCGCGUGAGUGAAGAAGGCCCUAUGGGUUGUAAAGCUCUGUCAGAUUGGGAAGAAAAUCCUGCGGUUAAUACCCGUGGGACUUGACGGUACCAUCAGAGGAAGCACCGGCUAACUCCGUGCCAGCAGCCGCGGUAAUACGGAGGGCGCAAGCGUUGUUCGGAUUCACUGGGUAUAAAGGGUGCGCAGGCGGCCCGAUAAGUCAGGGGUGAAAUAUGACGGCUUAACCGUCAAACUGCCCCUGAAACUGUCAGGCUUGAGUUCGAGAGAGGUAGGUGGAAUUCCAGGUGUAGCGGUGAAAUGCGUAAAUAUCUGGAGGAACACCGGUGGCGAAGGCGGCCUACUGGCUCGAUACUGACGCUCAGGCACGAAAGCAUGGGGAGCGAACGGGAUUAGAUACCCCGGUAGUCCAUGCCGUAAACGAUGCCUACUAGGUGUUGAAGGAUUCUACCCCUUCAGUGCCGCAGCUAACGCAUUAAGUACCCCACCUGGGAGUACGAUCGCAAGGUUGAUACUCAAAGGAAUUGACGCAGGCUCGCACAGGCGGAGGAGCAUGUGUUUUAAUUCGAUGCAACGCGAAGAACCUUACCUGGGCUUGUCAUGCAGGGGACAGAUGAAGAAAUACAUCCUUCUUCGGACUCCUGUACAGAUGCUGCAUGGCUGUCGUCAGCUCGCGUCGUGAAUGCUGCGAUAAGUCCCGCAACGAGCGCAACACUGGUCAUUGUUGCAUCAGGUUAUGCAAGCGGCUCUAGACCGAGCUGCCGUGACUAAACGCAGGAGUUGGGAACGACGUCAGUCAUCAUGACUCUUACGCCGACGCGCUGAAAUCGUGCUAGAAGGCCGGUUCAACAGCGGGUAUACACCAUUCUCCACCGGAUUCCCAAAUGCCGCUCAGUCCGCUCUUGUCUGCACUCGACUAGUUAGUUCGAUCGCUAGUAAGCGGUACCGACGAUGGUGGAAUUCGUUUAGGUCUUGCACCACGUCAUUUCAUG